CCUGGGCUCUGGGCCCUGGUAAGGGCCGUGCAGCUGCGGCGAGUUCUGCGCGGGGCCUGCGUGCCACGGAGGAUGCCAGGGGCCUCAGCCCCGGAUCCCGAGCCCUCCACGCGCUGUGUCACCUAAUCCCCGCGGCCUCCUUCCAGGGCCGCGCAGCCCCGUUCAAAGGCCACCACGCGCGACUCCUGAACGCUUGAGAUGUGCCCUAGGCGCUGUGCGUGUAAGUCAGUCACUGCAUUUCAUGGACUCAGUAAGUUAAGCGACUUACUAAUUUUGCAUAUUGAUAACACAUCAAAAUACUAUUUUGGAUAUAGGUUUUAAUUCAUUUUUUUUUCUUUUACCUUCUUAAAUGACUACUACAAGGGCAGCCCGGGUGGCUCAGCAGUUUAGUGCCACCUUCCACCCAGGGCGUGAUCCUGGAGACCCUGGAUGGAGACCCCGGUCGGGCUCCCUGCAUGGAGCCUGCUUCUCCCUCUGCCUGGGUCUCUGCCUCUCUCUCUCUCUGUGUCUCUCAUGAAUAAAUAAAUAGAAUAUUUUUUUUAAUGACUACUACACUAGUAGCGACUACUGGAAAAUUUUGUUACCUGAGUGACUCACAUUGUAUUUCCAGUGAACAGCCCUGCUCUAGAGUAGACGUAAUUACUGUCCCAAUUUCGGCGAAGGAGCCUCAAAGAGCUGAGUAGCUACAAAGCCAGUAAGUGAAGGCACCUCGAGUCCUUCCACAAAGACAAAGCCCAGGUGAGUUUUAAAGGCUUGGUCAGGGUGAGGUAACAUCCAGUCUUGAUUGUUCUCAACGAUGAUCCUGAGCGUUGGGCCAGGUGAGCGGGGACCUGGGGACGGUUUCUGUUUCCCUGCACAUACUCCUUUUCCUCUCUGGGGCCAGUUUCUCCAACCAUAAAAUGAUGAUAAUUAUAGGUGCCCUGCCGCCAGCUUUGUGAGUAGGAAAUGAGAAGCUCUGGAUGAAAGCAGGUCAAAUUUAUGGAUCAAGAAUACCCUAUAAAAGCCGAGGUGAUGCUGCUGCUGUAGGCCCGAAGCCUGCUUGCCGGGUUGGUAGUGGCAUCCAGCGGCGGUGGCCCGCGUCCACCUGUGGCCUGCGGCUGCAUCACAGUGUCUUAGGGGCACCCGGGGCACCCAGGUGCUGUCUCAGGGAGGGAGGGGGUUCCCGGCGCGGGCGGAGGGCGUUUGGUGCGGGCCAGGGUGUCCGCCCUCCAGGGUCACACAUUUCAGACCCCCGCCCCUGUAGGCUCACGUUAUAAAGUCCACACUGACCUC
rnacentral:lncRNA from 12 species